UACGUAGGGUGCAAGCGUUAAUCGGAAUUACUGGGCGUAAAGCGUGCGCAGGCGGUGAUGUAAGACCGAUGUGAAAUCCCCGGGCUUAACCUGGGAACUGCAUUGGUGACUGCAUUGCUAGAGUAUGGCAGAGGGGGGUGGAAUUCCACGUGUAGCAGUGAAAUGCGUAGAGAUGUGGAGGAACACCGAUGGCGAAGGCAGCCCCCUGGGCCGAAUACUUGACGCUCAUGCACGAAAGCGUGGGGAGCAAACGAGG
rnacentral:rRNA from 1 species